UACGGAGGGGGCUAGCGUUGUUCGGAAUUACUGGGCGUAAAGCGCACGUAGGCGGCUUUGUAAGUUAGAGGUGAAAGCCCGGGGCUCAACUCCGGAAUUGCCUUUAAGACUGCAAGGCUAGAGUACGGCAGAGGGGGGUAGAAUUCCACGUGUAGCAGUGAAAUGCGUAGAGAUGUGGAGGAAUACCGAUGGCGAAGGCAGCCCCCUGGGAUAACACUGACGCUCAUGCACGAAAGCGUGGGGAGCAAACAGG
rnacentral:rRNA from 1 species